UUAAUUUGAGAGUUUGAUCCUGGCUCAGGACGAACGCUGGCGGCGUGCCUAAUACAUGCAAGUCGAACGAACUCUGGUAUUGAUUGGUGCUUGCAUCAUGAUUUACAUUUGAGUGAGUGGCGAACUGGUGAGUAACACGUGGGAAACCUGCCCAGAAGCGGGGGAUAACACCUGGAAACAGAUGCUAAUACCGCAUAACAACUUGGACCGCAUGGUCCGAGUUUAAAAGAUGGCUUCGGCUAUCACUUUUGGAUGGUCCCGCGGCGUAUUAGCUAGAUGGUGGGGUAACGGCUCACCAUGGCAAUGAUACGUAGCCGACCUGAGAGGGUAAUCGGCCACAUUGGGACUGAGA
rnacentral:rRNA from 1 species